GUGCUCAUUGCAGCAGUACACAUGCUAAAACUGGAACAAUACAGAGAAGAUGAGUAUGGCUCCUGGACAAGGAUAAUAUGAAAAUACAUGUAGCAAUCUAUAUUUUU
ensembl:snRNA U6 U6 spliceosomal RNA